rnacentral:rRNA from 1 species
UUGAAGAGUUUGAUCAUGGCUCAGAUUGAACGCUGGCGGCAGGCCUAACACAUGCAAGUCGAGCGGUAGCACAGAGAGCUUGCUCUCGGGUGACGAGCGGCGGACGGGUGAGUAAUGUCUGGGAAACUGCCUGAUGGAGGGGGAUAACUACUGGAAACGGUAGCUAAUACCGCAUAACGUCGCAAGACCAAAGUGGGGGACCUUCGGGCCUCAUGCCAUCAGAUGUGCCCAGAUGGGAUUAGCUAGUAGGUGGGGUAAUGGCUCACCUAGGCGACGAUCCCUAGCUGGUCUGAGAGGAUGACCAGCCACACUGGAACUGAGACACGGUCCAGACUCCUACGGGAGGCAGCAGUGGGGAAUAUUGCACAAUGGGCGCAAGCCUGAUGCAGCCAUGCCGCGUGUGUGAAGAAGGCCUUCGGGUUGUAAAGCACUUUCAGCGGGGAGGAAGGCGGUGAGGUUAAUAACCUCAUCGAUUGACGUUACCCGCAGAAGAAGCACCGGCUAACUCCGUGCCAGCAGCCGCGGUAAUACGGAGGGUGCAAGCGUUAAUCGGAAUUACUGGGCGUAAAGCGCACGCAGGCGGUCUGUCAAGUCGGAUGUGAAAUCCCGGGCUCAACCGGGAACUGCAUUCGAAACUGGCAGGCUAGAGUCUUGUAGAGGGGGGUAGAAUUCCAGGUGUAGCGGUGAAAUGCGUAGAGAUCUGGAGGAAUACCGGUGGCGAAGGCGGCCCCCUGGACAAAGACUGACGCUCAGGUGCGAAAGCGUGGGGAGCAAACAGGAUUAGAUACCCUGGUAGUCCACGCCGUAAACGAUGUCGAUUUGGAGGUUGUGCCCUUGAGGCGUGGCUUCCGGAGCUAACGCGUUAAAUCGACCGCCUGGGAGUACGGCCGCAAGGUUAAAACUCAAAUGAAUUGACGGGGCCCGCACAAGCGGUGGAGCAUGUGGUUUAAUUCGAUGCAACGCGAAGAACCUUACGGUCUUGACAUCCACAGAACUUUCCAGAGAUGGAUUGGUGCCUUCGGGAACUGUGAGACAGGUGCUGCAUGGCUGUCGUCAGCUCGUGUUGUGAAAUGUUGGGUUAAGUCCCGCAACGAGCGCAACCCUUAUCCUUUGUUGCCAGCGGUUAGGCCGGGAACUCAAAGGAGACUGCCAGUGAUAAACUGGAGGAAGGUGGGGAUGACGUCAAGUCAUCAUGGCCCUUACGACCGGGCUACACGUGCUACAAUGGCAUAUACAAAGAGAAGCGACCUCGCGAGAGCAAGCGGACCUCAUAAAGUAUGUCGUAGUCCGGAUUGGAGUCUGCAACUCGACUCCAUGAAGUCGGAAUCGCUAGUAAUCGUAGAUCAGAAUGCUACGGUGAAUACGUUCCCGGGCCUUGUACACACCGCCCGUCACACCAUGGGAGUGGGUUGCAAAAGAAGUAGGUAGCUUAACCUUCGGGAGGGCGCUUACCACUUUGUGAUUCAUGACUGGGGUGAAGUCGUAACAAGGUAACCGUAGGGGAACCUGCGGUUGGAUCACCUCCUU